AUGAAUGCAGUGUGCCUUACAUCUUUCUUUGCAACCACAACUACGAGACGGGUAACCGAUCCCGCACCGGGAGCCUCGGUGCCCUCGGAGCCACCGGGCCGCUUCUCCCGUGGAGCCCGAGCUCCGGCUCUAGAAGGGGUGUGCCCGCAUCGUCCACUUCACGCAGCUUUGCCCCAGUGGGCCCCUCCGUCACGCGUGCGGUGGCGGCGGCGGCGUGCGCUGAGGGGCGACCCCCUCCCCUUGGCAAACCUGGCGCCCCCGUGCCGGCGGCCGGGCCUCCUUCCCGGCAGAGGGGCGCCGAACUCCUCGGGCCCUUCGGGCGCUUCCGCCGAGCUCUCGGCUCGGUUCGUGUCCGGGGCGGGGCCGGCGCCCCUGCGCGGGUGCGCGCAGAGCUGGCGGGCCCUUCCCAGUGCGCGCGCGCCGGCGCCUCUUGCUCGCCCGGGCCGCCCCUCCCCCCUCCCCCGCUGCCCCUCCCCCGCCCCGCGAACGAGCGAGCGUCCUCCGCGGCUGAGGCGGCAGAGAUUGGAAUCUGCUUGCCGGCCGCGCGGAGGAGGAGGAGGAGGAGGAGGAGGGCGGAGGGAGGAGGGAAGGGCGGGGAGGGAGGCUCGAGCUCCCGCGCGAGACGACGACUGUACGGCCGCGCGAGGGGCGACCGGGCCCGGGCCGCUGCACGCCGAGGGCGGAGGCCGAGCCGGGCCCCGCCGCCCCGCGGCUGUCCGUGCGCGCCCGCGCCGAGCGCCGGAGGAUGAGUUUCUCGGGAUCCCGGUGAGUUGGCGGGUGGCGACGGAGUGCGGGUGCGCCGCGGGAGGCCGGCGAAGUUUGGGGGCGACGGUGGCGGCGCAGGGGAGGCCGCGACGCGCCUCCGCGGGGCCUGCGGGAGAGACCCCCCGGCCCCGCGGCCCGGCCCGCCCGCGCUUGCCCUUUUGUUCGCCUUCGCACCACUCCGGGGACGCUUCUGGAAACCUUAAAUGGGAACGGUGCUCUGCUCCCGCUCCGGAGCUGCGCGGCGGCUGCUGCGGGGACUGGGUCUCGGGACCCUGCUAG
rnacentral:lncRNA from 1 species